AUCUAUUUUGUGGUGAUUAAAAUAUGCUCUUUUCAUUCUUUUACUCAAAUCCAUAUUUCAAUUCCUUUCACCACAUCCCUCCUAUAUAAACCAAGUUUUCUCACAUUCAUCAACAAAAAUAAGAAUAAAAAGAAAAACCAAAACCCUUCGGCAAACUAAAAUUUUAAAAACCCAUUUACUUAUAUUUAAUAUUAAACACCAACCGACAAAAAGCUGGUCCAUCAUUAUUAAAUUAAUUAAAAAAACAGUUUUUUUUUGCAAUUCAAUUAUAAGGUGAUUUACUUCGUCUUCUUCUGUAUCAAGUUGUUGCCUUUUGUUUAUGCAAAAAAAAUGGAAAAGAUAACAAAACCAUUUCAGAUUAUAAAAAGUCUCUGGAAUUUAUAAUCAGAGAUUUGAGUUGUGAUUUUGUGAAAGUGGUGGAUACCCAUAAGCCCCAGUACCCACCCUACCCAACCUAUCACCUUACGCCAAACAGUACCCAAUCUAGAACAAGCUCAACAAAAAAAUAAGAAUAUAUAUAUUAUAUACAAAAAAAAACCCAAAGAUCUUUUGUUCUUAUCCUUAUUCACCGCCUCACAUAAAUUUUUCUUCAUAAUUUAAGAAAUCCCAAGUUAUUUAUCAUCGAUUUAUGUUGAAAAGUUCAAAUCUUUAUGUAUUACAAGGGAGAACUGGUUUGGUUCAAUGUUGUUGUGAUAUUCAGUUCGUUGGAGUCGAAAACAAAUGAUACUGGGACGGAGGAUGAAGGUGGUCUUGGUUAGCUUUAGAUAUCUGUUCUGAUAUCAUGGUAGAAUAUAUUUGUUUGCAUGUUAGCUUUGUUUGUGUGUCUAUGCUGUGAUAGCAUCAUUUGACAAAUUUGCAGUUUGACAUUUUGUUGUCAAUGAUAAUUACUUUAGACUUUUGGUUCCAUGAAUCUUCGGACCUAUCUCUAUGAUGUGUGAAGCAGGACCAGCGCAGGCGUUGCUGGUUUAUGUUGUUGGAUGAAAAUAAUUUAAUGCCUCCCCUUGGAAUUCUUCCAGUGUAACACUAAUGAACUCUUGAUAUGCUUUUCUGGUUUGAGCUAAUAAUGGCAGGUUUUUGCAACCUCAUCUUUCAAUAACAUAACCAUCUUCACCACAAUCUCGAAGAUUAUAAUGUAGUUGAAUGCUGUAUCGCUUCUUAUGGGUAGAGCUUGGUGGGUAGAUAGCGUAGCUACUUGAGCUUCGUUUAUUGCUUCAUUUUGCUUUGUAUAAUAUGUUAUGUUCCUCUAUUAUUUGAUUUGCCUAGUUUUACUUUUACCUCUGAGCUGUCUUGUUCAAAUUGCCUUAUUGUGUGUUGCUUGAUUAGGACCUUUCAGAAAUCCUCUCCAAUUUGUCACAAGGUAAGAAUAAGGUUUAUAAUCACACGAACUGAAUAUCAAAUGACUCAACGAGGGGCGUUUGCAUCGCCAUCAGCCAAAAUCGACUCGAUUUGUUCAUGGUUAAAUAUACAAACACAUGAUGGAAAAAAGGACACACACAAAGGAAUUAAACUUUUCCCC
rnacentral:lncRNA from 1 species